ensembl:lincRNA
ACAGUGGCAAAAUUUAUUCAAGAAAGCAAUGCUGAAGAGUGGGAGAGAAACUGGCUCUGUAGAGCGAGCUUGGGCCCAGUGAAUAGAAAAAGAGGGCGAGAGCAAAGAUAAAAGUGCACUGGGAAACGCAGCAUGGGCUGUCCUAGGAAGUCACGGUAGAAAAGCCCUCAUGGUGUCACUGUGCCCUUUUAUGAUGUCUGAAUGUUGAGGGAACCCGUGAGAACUUCCACUUAUGGGUCCUGAAAGGUGGUGCCGAGAUCCAGUGCCUCAGUAUGAUGACAGGUCUUGGCCAUCCUAUCACACACUUGCUCCAGUUCUCCCAAGAAACCCAUCUGCAGGGCUUUGGGAACUGUUCUGCGCAGUGUCUGCGGGUCACACCUCUUUCCCCAGCCAGCUCUUUCCAUCUCCUGAUCUUCUAUCGCUGUGUGGCUGCUGCACUUGAGUGUUACAGACCGUGGAAUUGCCAGAGGUGGUCAGCUAGAGGAGCCCAGCCACCUCUCCUGGGCGUGUGUCACCACCCACAGCUGCAGCAGCUGUUUCACACUGCCAAGUCUGUGGUAAUUUGCCACACGGCAAGAGAAAACGAACAGAGCCUUCCAAGAGUCAGCCAUGGCUGCCGCCUUCCAGCACGCUGUCUCACGGGGAGGACGGAUGCCGCUGCAAAGGAUGAAGGAUUAAAGGCCGAGUUCUUUAUAAAAAAAUGAAGUCAGCAUAUCCCAACAAGGAAUCGUUAGGAAGCCAGAGGAGGCUGCUGUGAGCUGAGGCAGACCCUACCUCGGGAGCAGACUGAUCCCCCCACCCCCGAGCGUCCUCCGCAGGCUGUUCCCUAGGACGCGCUGUCCCUGCGCUUGUCAGCGAGGAAAUACACCUGCAGACUUCCUCCAUGCUGAAGGCGGAGCUUGGGCCAUGGCAGAUGGGAGAGGGAGGGGAUCCAGUGCUCAGUGAACUAUGGCCAAGUGGUCCCUGGAAACAUUACCCAGAAUGGGGCUGUCUGCGUCCUGCCAGUUAGCCUCUCUAAAGACUUUGAUAAAUGGAUGGCAAAAUAUCCACGGGCUUUCGCCACGUACUGUUGCUGCGCUAGCAGUUAGCUUUGCCAGGACAGUGUAUGUAGUACGUCUCUUCUUCAGAGUCACUCAAAUCAGAUCCUUUUCCUUCCCAGUUUAAAAUAUUGGGCCAGGGAUAUAGCUCAGCAGCACAGUCACCUGCCUGGCAAGCGUAAGGACCUGAGUUUGACACCCAGUACCAAAAAAUAAAUAAAAUAAAAUAAAAUAUCAAAAUAUUGCAGCUCUCAGACCUGAAAGAAAUAACCCUGCAGCUGGAUGGGAUGGCACAUGGUCCUGCCCUCUUGGGAGGCUGGUGCUGGAGGAUCACAAGUCUGAGCUCAGCUACUUAGCAAAGACCCUACCUAAAAAUAAAAAGGAAGGCUGGAAAUAUAGCUCAGUGUGUAGGCCCUAGCUUUAUCCUCAAGACUGGAAAAGACAAAAAAUUAAAAAAAAAAAAAUCCAGUGACAUAAAAUAGUUAUGAUUGCAGGAAUCAAUUUCUUAGCUCCACUUAUCUGAAUAUCGUUAGUGCUGUGGAAUCUAUUUCGGAAACGGGUAGAAGUUUGAGGAUAAACCUGGUGUGGAAUCAGUUAUCAGCACAGACUGUGUUCUCACAGAACCAUCCCUUGAGGCCAUCCUGUGGGCGUCUUGAGCAAGACAGAUAUCACCCCAGGUCCAGCCAUGUCACUCCCACUGGCGGCCUGCAGGUCUCCCUCAGUGGUGGCCUGCAGGGCAGGUUGCUCGUCACAGCCUGCCCUGACUUGUUCUGACCAUCUGUCUUCCUUGCUGUCUGGAAUUCUUCUCUGCACUCUGACUGGUGCGGCCGCUUCGCCCAAGACUGUUUUCUGCCUCCUGGCUGUGCUGUGCUCGGUUCUCCUUUGUGAUAGCAGGUCUCUGCCUCUCUAUCUGGAAACUGCUGGGUGCUUCUUCCUCUUUUCAUUAGGCAAAGUCCUACUUAAUCUUCAAGUCUCUUUCAAACACAACGCAGGGGCUACUUGCACAGCCCCAGGCUGCCGUGGGGGACGGGACUGUCUGUCUGGCAGUAAGGCGCUCCAUUAGGCUCCGCUAAUUGAGGCAGAGACCCUGGGUUAGAUUGUUCUUUUUCGUAUUUAUAUCACUAACAUUAUUACCUUUCUGAAAUGAAUAUUUGUUGGCUGACUGUAGAGAUAUGGGCUGUCAAGGUUUGGGAGGUGCCCUGGGUGAUGUCUAGCUCACCCACCACAGAAGAAUAUUGCAUCUGGGGUUUCUGGUGGAAAAAGAGUGAUUAGACCGAGGAAAAAGCAGAGCCCUUUGGAGUGAAGCCGCUUGGGAUGUGAACAUACUUUGGGAGACUUGAGCUGGAAACAAAACAAGAUUUUUUUUUUUUGAGAUAAGGUCUAGCUAUGUAGUUGAGGCUGGCCUCAAACUUACAGUGAUCCUCCUGCCUCAGCCUCCUGAGUGCUGGGAUUAAAGGCAUGUGCCACCAUGCCCAGCCUAAAACGAAAUUGUGGAAGGUCCAGGUGAGACACUCAACUGGUGAGAAUUGAGAGAGGAAAACAAGUAGAUACCAGUUUCCUGUUGGCAUUGGUCCUCACCUGCAGUCCUACUGACUUCUAGUGCUGUCGACUUCAGCAGUUACAUCCUAUAGUCUUGGCUCUAGAUCUGUAUGUGAGCCAUCACGGACCCAGGAGUGUUAGACACGUUUGCUUGAAAGUCCUAGUUCACAUUGUUAUCAAUUAGAAGUGAAUAAACAAUAUCAUCAGGGUGUCUCUUUCUUUUUCUUUCUUUCUUUCUUUCUUUCUUUCUUUCUUUCUUUCUUUCUUUCUUUCUUUCUUUCUUUCUUUUCUUUUCUUUCUUUCCUUCUUUCUUCCUCUUUUGUGGUACUGGGAUUGAACCUAGGGGUAUUCUACCACAGAGCUAUAUCUCUACCCCUUUUAUACUUUGAGGCAGGGUUUUACUAAAUUAUCCAGGCAGGAUUUGAAUUUGUAGUCUCCUGCCUUAGCCUCAAUGAGUAUUGGGAUUACAGGGGUAUGCCAUUGCACCUAAGUUUUUAAAACUUUUUUUUUUUUUGUCUUUUUGAGACAGGGUCCUGCUAUGCA